UAAGUAUUAUCAUAAAUUAWUUUUUAUUGAUUUUUAGCUUAUUGCUUUCUCCAGUUCCUGUUUGUCUUUGGAAAGGAGCAUCUUUGGUCUGUGCAUGGACAAGGGCAGCUCAUGGAGAACAGCCCUUUCUGUAGGAACAGAUCCACUCCCGCACUGGCAACAACAGGAGGAACAGAAUGAAAAGCAGUGCCUUUUCAAACCAGGAUCAAUGGCCCCGUCUGCUUGGCAGUGAGAAGUGGAGUCUCAGUCUUUGAUGAGGACUUGAAGGGCUCCAAGACCUUCGAUGGUCACUGAUGGGAGAUCACAUUCAGGCAACCCCAGGGAUCCCCCUGGKCUGGCAGCCUAUGGAUAAAAUCUGUGAGAGUGUCUUAAUAUCCUCAAAAAAUUGCCAUGGCCAGUUGGAUCGUGGGGACGACACAGUCAUCUCAAAAUAAAGGUCUGCCCUGCUGACUGAUAGGCUUGAAAAAUUGCAACAAAUGCUGAUGCACAGCUCAUUUAUACGAGACACAACUGGUGGUGGAAAAUGCUCUGUCCUGGAAAUGUGCACAUAUGUUUUAUUUCUACCUUCAUUGAACAGAAGAGAGAAUUUUGUAUUCCUGUAGYUUUUAUAACUCUUCUGUCACCCUGCUAUAACUUGUGGCAAAACUUUAGCCUUGAGGAACUGAGGYGGGGGAGCUUUUAUCAAGGGGGCUYCUUCAUGCCACAGGUCCAACCAAGAGGCACUGCCAGGGCAUAGGUUCAAAUGGUGAUGCAAAAAUUGGAAAAGCAGCAAAUUUUAUUAUCCCUGUACUUGUGGGGCAGACUGAGGAUCUUUAAUGGCUUUUGAUGUCUUGGGGACAGAGCUGUCAGGGCUGUUUCUUGUCAUCUCUGUGUCUUGCAUAGCUUUUGGGGUUGUAUGGGAGGAGAUCACAGCAGAGAGAAAGGMAGAUACAGACCACUCUGUUCUUAGCCUCUUGGCUAAACUCCAAGUAUUUUAARCAUUUCUGCUAGGGGUCGAUUCCCCCAGCGAGCCCCACAGCUCUCAUCUCUGACAGCUGUAAAUCAAAGACUGUUCACAGGAGAUCAGCACAUGCCAAUAUUGUUUUAGACUUUAUGGCAUGUGCACUUCAUAUAUCGAUAGCAACGGGCCAUCUCUCCCUGCAAGCCCUUUAGUGCUCCUGUGAUUGUGUUUUGAUUUAGUGGACAGGAGAGAAAAGCACAAUGAAAGUCAGGAAAAUGAUUAAAUGCAAAGAUUUGUUCAUCUUGUGAGACCCCUUGUAAAUAAUUUAGCACAGAUCUUUAACAAGUCGCACUCCAAAGGGAAAAAAGAUCUUUAACAAGAUUUCACACUCCAAAGGAAAAAGUAGGUCCACUUUAAACCCUGCUUUUUCAAUUUGGAUGUUUAAAUCAGUACUGUAGUCUUUUAAAGCAGCCAGACUCUGUAGAAAUUGCCAUAGAGAGACAGAUACAGAGUUCUGGUUGCCAAGUGUAAAGGAGAAAAAUGUGAGAAACUCUAUAACAGGCAAACAUGGGGUAAUCUCCCUUCCCCCAGAAGAGCUCAUCCAAGCCUUGGAGACAAGUUAAAAUAUUAAAUCAAGAGGCUUUGCCCUUCCCA